rnacentral:pre_miRNA from 1 species
UACAUUUCUGUAUCUUUGCGCUAUUUUGGUUAGCCAGAGUCUCCACUGGAAAGAAUCAAAUAUAUUUUAAAGUACGGAAAUAAA